rnacentral:rRNA from 1 species
UACAGAGGGGGCAAGCGUUGUUCGGAAUUACUGGGCGUAAAGGGCGCGUAGGCGGCCCGCUAAGUCGAACGUGAAAUCCCCGAGCUCAACUCGGGAACUGCGUCCGAUACUGGCGGGCUUGAAUCCGGGAGAGGGAUGCGAAAUUCCAGGUGUAGCGGUGAAAUGCGUAGAUAUCUGGAGGAACACCGGUGGCGAAGGCGGCAUCCUGGACCGGCAUUGACGCUGAGGCGUGAAAGCUAGGGGAGCAAACGGG